UAAAUGUGGCUGUAAGAAGAUAAGAGUCCUGAAGGCAGGAGGUGCUUAGUUUCUCUCGCUGCAUUACGAGUGCAUUUCCACUGCGAAGGACAUCUGAGCGUAAAGUGAGCCUCUUUUCGUCAGGAGGUUUUGGCAAAAUCUGAUCAAGACUGGCCAAGAAAACAGAUGGAUGGAUGAACUAAUGAAGGAACAAAUAAAGAAAUGAAAGUUGAGUGAUGGUUUAGAGGAAGUUCCAUAUUGGAACUACAGUGGUUAACACUAGAAAAGCUAUGUAUGAUAGGAAACAUGAGCUGACAUGAAAUGAACAAUUAUCCACCCCAUAAAGCUGCCAUGUAAUAAUAGUGUAUGUUUUGUAAUAUGUCAGUACAGAGUAAAGAGGAACUCAGCUACAUUAGCUUUGUGCUGAGUUUCUUAAGGUGGCUUAAGUUAGCUACAGCUCAAAGAGACAACCAUGUUAAAUGAAUGCCAACUAUUUAGGUCUUUUACAUGCCCAUUAAUUUUUAUGGGAAUGGUUCUAAAUUUUGGAAGCUGUCCUCUUUCACUUUCUGGCAUAGAGUUAGAUGAGAAGAUUUAUACCACUCUCAGUUUCUGUCUGCUAAAUAUAGGGCUACAGCCAGCUGGUUAGCUUAGCUUAGCACAAAGACUGCAAACAGCCUGGCCUGACACUUUGUUUUCUGAACGGAUUAAACAAAGUGUUAAUCAGAGAUGAAGGUAGGUGGGUUUUGUUUAGGAGGCUACUUGUUUCCUAUUUUUGUGCUAAGCUAAGCUAACCAGCUACCUCCUGUCUAACUUCUAUCCAUCACCCUUUUUGUUUUUGUCUUGGUGGCUGCUCCAUACUUUGGAGAUAAAUGAAAGAUUAUUGAUCUAUUUCCCACAAACCCUUACUCCUUUGUAGAUUCAAAACUGUCAACAUGUGUAUCUUGCUGUUUUCAUUUUAAAUGUGGCCAAAAAUAUAAAAAACAACACUGGCUGUGUUUUCUGCGAAACCUUUGCCAAAAUAAAAUACCAAGUAUUCAUCACA